AUACAGCGUGAGGGAUAGAAGCGACAUCCUUUUGCGGUCCUGCAAGAUCCGCAAAAGAUAUAGCGGAUAGCCCGACCCGUC
rfam:Leadbetterella byssophila DSM 17132, complete genome.